rnacentral:rRNA from 1 species
GCAGUCGACGAGAAGUUUCCUUCGGGAAGCGAGUAGAGUGGCGCACGGGUGAGUAACGCGUAGGUAAUCUACCUUUAUGAUCGGGAUAACAUUGGGAAACUGGUGCUAAUACCGGAUACCCUUCCUGGCUUUGGGGUCAGGGAGGAAAGGUGGCCUCUUCAUGAAAGCUACCGCAUAGAGAUGAGCCUGCGUACCAUUAGCUAGUAGGCGGGGUAACGGCCCACCUAGGCGACGAUGGUUAGCGGGUCUGAGAGGAUGAUCCGCCACACUGGAACUGGAACACGGACCAGACUCCUACGGGAGGCAGCAGUGAGGAAUAUUGCGCAAUGGGGGAAACCCUGACGCAGCGACGCCGCGUGAGUGAAGAAGGUUUUCGGAUCGUAAAGCUCUGUCAGAAGGGAAGAAAUGCUGCAUGGCUAAUACCCAUGCAGUUUGACGGUACCUUCAGAGGAAGCACCGGCUAACUCCGUGCCAGCAGCCGCGGUAAUACGGAGGGUGCAAGCGUUGUUCGGAAUUACUGGGCGUAAAGGGCGCGCAGGCGGCCUGAUAAGUCAGAUGUGAAAGUCCAUGGCUCAACCGUGGAAGUGCAUUUGAAACUGUCUGGCUUGAGUAUCGGAGGGGAGUGUGGAAUUCCCGGUGUAGAGGUGAAAUUCGUA